UACGUAGGCAGCGAGCGUUGUUCGGAGUUACUGGGCGUAAAGGGUGUGUAGGCGGUUAUUUAAGUUUGGUGUGAAAUCUCCCGGCUCAACCGGGAGGGUGCGCCGAAUACUGAAUGACUUGGAGUGCGGGAGAGGUGAGUGGAAUUCCUGGUGUAGCGGUGAAAUGCGCAGAUAUCAGGAAGAACACCCGUGGCGAAGGCGGCUCUCUGGGACGGUACUGACGCUGAGACGCGAAAGCGUGGGGAGCAAACAGG
rnacentral:rRNA from 1 species